AGAGUUUGAUCCUGGCUCAGCCUGAACGCUGGCGGCGUGGCUAAGACAUGCAAGUCGCACGGCGGUAGCAAUACCGCAGUGGCGAACGGGUGAGUAAUGAAUCGCUAACGUACCCCGGNACUCCGGGAUAGCUGCCCGAAAGGGCAGGUAAUACCGGUUGACAUACCCUGCGGGCAUCCGCGGGGUCUCAAAGGUCCGCCGGUCUGGGCGCGGGCGAUUUCGUAUCAGCUAGUUGGUGAGGUAACGGCUCACCAAGGCGACGACGCGUAGCCGGACUGAGAGGUUGGCCGGCCACAUCGGGACUGAGACACUGCCCGGACUCCUACGGGGGGCUGCAGUAACGAAUCUUCCCCAAUGCACGCAAGUGUGAGGGAGCGACGCCGCGUGUGGGACGAAGUCCUUCGGGAUGUAAACCACUGUCAGGGGAUACCAAGUUCUGAGGAUCCCCAGAGGAAGAGGCGGCUAACUCUGUGCCAGCAGCCGCGGUAAGACAGAGGCCUCGAGCGUUAGGCGGAAUCACUGGGCUUAAAGCGUGUGUAGGCGGGCCCGUAAGUGUCUUGUGAAAUCCCACGGCUCAACCGUGGAACUGCUGGGCAUACUGCGGGUCUUGGGCCAACUANGGGCAGCCGGAACAAGCGGUGGAGCGGUGAAAUGCGUANAUAUCGCUUGGGAACGCCNAAGGUGAAAACAGGCUGCUGGGGUUGCGCCGACGCUGAGACACGAAAGCCA
rnacentral:rRNA from 1 species